GUGUUUUCAAGUGUAAUAUUUCUGUAAAGGGACAGAAAAGUUGACUUUUCUGUAGAAUGACCCAUUCAUUGUAAAAUGAAGCAGUAACUUCAACCUACUACUAACUAAUUAAAGAUGUCAUCAGAUCAUGUGUGCUUUCAGCAGUUAUCAUUUUAAACAUCAAAAUCAUGAUGCCCCCCAACAGCAGGCUACUGAAUAUAAGAUGUGGUAUAAUAUAAGAAUGGGACAUUUUAUCCAAGUCAUCUCAAUGGUAAAAAGUGUCCCAAUCACCCUGAACUGGAGCUCUAAAAUAAUGUUAUUGACUUCAACUGAUGAAUGCAGCCAAAGAAAAGAUGAAGAAUGGAAAAGCACUUUGCUGGCAAAGAAAUUGGAAAAUAACACAGGUUACGCGCAUGUAUCCAUGGCAACGCUCGGCUGCGUCGACAGUUAACGGUCCUGCUGGUGAUUUUCUCAGAUGAGGCCUUGAGUUUUCUCUUUCGUCGGUCGAAAAGGUUAGAAGCCAUCGAAAAAACUGCCAUCAGACUACCACAGCUGACAACGAGAGACGCGCGUGCACAACUGCAUAACACACACACGGAAAGAGCACAACAAUUAUGAAACUGCUCAUUUAUUAUAAAUAAAUAAAUGUAUUUUUCUCCUUACAACUUGUUUGUGUUCUUUUGUUAACCUAGAAGUAAAAUAAAAAAACAAUAAGAGGACUUAAUCGAAAGUCCCCUAAACGUCCCGAAUGGCCGCUGAACGUCCUGUGAACGUCCCCGUGAACGUCCGGAGGACGUCUUUGCGGACGUCCCCGGGACAGCCAGAGGACCCUACACAUGGACGUUCGGGGGACGUUCGCAGAGGCCAUUCAGGGGACGUUCUGGGGACCUUUUUUUGUUAGCUGGGUAAAGCUCU